GCGGUGUGUGCGCCGCCGCGGGCACCGCGCGGCUCGGAGGCUGCGGGGCCAGGCGUAACCGGAGCCGCCUCCCUCGCCUCCCUCGCUGCCCCUCGGCUCCUUUGCCGCCGCUUGGGCCUGAGCGUUCCCCCAGCUCGGGAACCGCACGCUGCUCUUGCCGGAGAGGGGCAUUCAGGCCGAGUAGUUUGUGGGAAACCUGCUCGAGAGCCUGGCAGAAAAAGCAUGCUUGAGAUGUAUCUGAGUAGUGAGGCCCCCUGCAUUCACAGCCCCUAGAAAUCAUUGUCUGCAUCGCUGAGUCUUGGUGAGUUGUCUAUAUCCUAUUGCAUUUAAUUGGAUUCUGUUGCAGUUUUAUCUUCUUCACUGGGGAGUUUGAUGGGAGAUGUCUUAAAUUGAUUGUGUGGAUACAGCAGAACAAACCUUGCUUUUAAGUGACGUGUGAUACUGUACUCUGAGUGGAAAUACUAAUGUUUUAGAAGCUUUGAAAAUAAUGGUGAGACUGGUUAUGGAAGCAGAGGGUCCUUGCUUUGGUGCCAGGACCAGGAAUGUGGCUUUAUGCUGAGAAAGAAUAUGUUGAUCCCUUCAGCCUUUCUCAUUAGGUUUGUUUGAUAUUUUAUACUGUAACUAAGGAAUUGACAUCUUUCAGAUGUGCUGAUUAUGGUCUGUCUUAUGGCAAAGGUUGAAUAUGAAAUAAUACAAGCUUUUCUAUCCAACUCUGUG
rnacentral:lncRNA from 1 species